AGGGCGAUGAGCGGGACUGGCGGCGGCGGCGGCGGCGGCGGCGACGGCGGCGGGAGCUACCGCGCGCUGAGCCGCCACGAGAGCAACGAGGGCUCGCACGAGGCGCUGGAUCCCACAGAAGCACUGG
rnacentral:rRNA from 1 species